rnacentral:rRNA from 1 species
AGCAGCCGCGGUAAUUCCAGCUCCAAUAGCGUAUAUUAAAGUUGCUGCAGUUAAAAAGCUCGUAGUUGAAUUUCGGGACCAUCAUGUCGGUCGUGCCUCGGUACGUACUGGCAUUGUUGGUUUCUCCCUUCUGACGAACCAUGAUGUCAUUUAUUUGGUGUCGUGGGAAAUCAGGACUGUUACUUUGAAAAAAUUAGAGUGUUUAAAGCAGGCUCACGCUUGAAUACAUUAGCAUGGAAUAAUGAAAUAGGACGUUUGAUUCUAUUUUGUUGGUUUCUAGGAUCGACGUAAUGAUUAAUAGGGAUAGUUGGGGGCAUUAGUAUUCAAUUGUCAGAGGUGAAAUUCUUGGAUUUAUUGAAGACUAACUACUGCGAAAGCAUUUGCCAAGGAUGUUUUCAUUAAUCAAGAACGAAAGUUAGGGGAUCGAAGACGAUCAGAUACCGUCGUAGUCUUAACCAUAAACUAUGCCGACUAGGGAUCGGAUGAUGUUAAUUUUUUAAUGACUCAUUCGGCGCCUUACG